rnacentral:Y_RNA from 1 species
GGCUGGUCCGAGUGCAGUGGUGUUUACAACUAAUUGAUCACAACCAGUCACAGAUUUCUUUGUUCCUUCUCCACUCCCACUGCUUCACUUGACUAGCCUUAA